GAUGAACGCUGGCGGCGUGCCUAAUACAUGCAAGUCGAGCGAACGGACGAGAAGCUUGCUUUUCUGAUGUUAGCGGCGGACGGGUGAGUAACACGUGUAUAACCUACCUAUAAGACUGGGAUAACUUCGGGAAACCGGAGCUAAUACCGGAUAAUAUUUUGAACCGCAUGGUUCAAAAGUGAAAGACGGUCUUGCUGUCACUUAUAGAUGGAUCCGCGCUGCAUUAGAUAGUUGGUAGGGUAACGGCUUACCAAGGCAACGAUGCAUAGCCGACCUGAGAGGGUGAUCGGCCACACUGGAACUGAGACACGGUCCAGACUCCUACGGGAGGCAGCAGUAGGGAAUCUUCCGCAAUGGGCGAAAGCCUGACGGAGCAACGCCGCGUGAGUGAUGAAGGUCUUCGGAUCGUAAAACUCUGUUAUUAGGGAAGAACAGAUGUGGAAGUAACUGUGCACAUCUUGACGGUACCUAAUCAGAAAGCCACGGCUAACUACGUG
rnacentral:rRNA from 1 species